rnacentral:tRNA from 1 species
GAGGUUAUAGCUCAGGGGUAAGAGUGCCUGCUUAGCAUACGUGAGGUCCUGAGUUCAAUCCCCAGUAGCUCCA